CUCAACCGGGGGAUGGCACUUGAAACUGCGGAGCUAGAGUUCUGGAGAGGGUGGCGGAAUUCCCGGUGUAGGAGUGAAAUCCGUAGAGAUCGGGAGGAACACCAGAGGCGAAGGCGGCCACCUGGCCAGAAACUGACGCUGAGGCGCGAAAGCGUGGGUAGCAAACAGGAUUAGAUACCCUGGUAGUCCACGCUGUAAACAUUGGAUGCUAGAUGCGGGUGACGUAGAAGUCAUUCGUGUCGCAGCUAACGCGUUAAGCAUCCCGCCUGGGGAGUACGGCCGCAAGGCUGAAACUCAAAGGAAUUGACGGGGGCCUGCACAAGCGGUGGAGUAUGUGGUUUAAUUCGAUGCAACGCGAAGAACCUUACCUGGGCUUGACAUCCCGGGAAUCCACUAGAGAUAGUGGAGUGCCCUUCGGGGAGCCC
rnacentral:rRNA from 1 species